rnacentral:piRNA from 1 species
UUUUGUAGAAUUGUAACUGCCACUAUAGUC